CAUCUUUUUUUGCAAGGAGUGAACUUUGAGAAUUUCUCGAAAGAAAUAAUGUUUUACAUGCAAGAUAAACAUUAAUUUGAUCUGGUUAUUUCACCAUUAAAUGUUUUAAUGAUUGACCAAAUCAGUAAACUAAAGGAUCAUGUAAAUGUUUCAAUUAUGAAAGCUGUUCAAGUUGAUGAAUCGAAGGAUACAAUGUGUAGUUUGGGAGAGUCAUUGUAUACGGACAGCAAUCAAUUAGAGAACAUGAAAGUUUUUGAAUUUUUAUUAUAAUCGACGAAAUAUACAGACAAUUUAAAAGCGAUUGUUGUGGACGAAGCACAAUCUGGUGAGUGUGAUACUUAUAUAUUUGGUUGUUUCUCAAUAUUCUUUCUUUGCUAUAUUAAUGGUUAUCUGCAAGACUGUACACAUACAGACAACAUAUAUUCUGUUUAAUACGUCCGGUCUAAACGCUGCAUUUUACAUGUGCCAAGUCUAGAAAAGUUUGUUCAACCUUUUAAGUGCUACCAAAUUAUUUUACUCAGCUUAACAUGCCAGAUGAUUGAGUGUACUGGUUAAUGUGAGAGUGCUACUGCUCAAUGGGUUAAUCAGAUUAUCUAUUGUACUUUACUAUCUUACUGUCUAAUGUCAGACAAUUUUGCUCAUCAAGGGGAGAGUGGGUAUAAUUGCAAAGUAAUUACUUUGCCACUUUGGACAAAUGUAUAAGUUACAUAAAAAUCAAAAUGUCAAACUUUAUUAUUUGAGUCAAACUUUAUUAUUCGAGUCAAACCAUGUAAAUUCACAUUAGAUUUGGCACAUGUAAAAUGCGGCAUUUAGACAGAGACAAUGAGCAUAAAAACCUGAAAUAUUGUGUGCAUCCCCCCCCCCUUCGCCCCUCCCCCCACCUUAAUCUUGGUAUCCCCAGAUAACGCUUGUUUGUAGGAUAUACAACUACCUGUAAGGUAUCAUGUGUGACUGCAUACUACAAGCUACUAUCAUAUUCAGUUUAAUACAUAUAUAUAUGACUUGAAAUAUGUAUUUUCUUGCCAUUGUAAAUUUCCACACAAAAACGGCACCUAUUGUUUUAAUUUAGUAUUUACAGCGACAUUAGCUUCUACAAAAGGGGCACUUUUCCUCACAAAAAAGGGCACUUUUCAACACAAAAAGGGCACUUUUUAUCACAAAAAAGGGCACUUUUAGUCCUUUAAAAAAAUUUGGGGGGGCACGUGCCCCCCGUGCCCCCCCGCUUCCUACGCCCCUGUAAACAUUGUACUACUACUUUAGGAAGGAUUUCAGGCCAAUUGGUAUGUUGGGAAGUUUGUUUCUUCAUCAACUCAGAGAAAGACAUUUCAUCAACUCAGAGAAAGAAAGAAAUUACAUGAACAAAAUAAACAAUUUUGUGUCAUUGAUAUAAAUAAUGAUUUAUUCUUACAAUUUCCUCUAUGAAAAUUUGGUGUGUUAAUAAAGAU